AGGUGAGGCCCUCAAAGAGACAAAAGGGGUCCUGGUCUCUGCAGACAUUAACAACAUGCCCCCCCCCCAGUGGUGUCAGUGACUGCUGCCCUCCUCCCAAUAUUGAUGCUCAGAAACCACCUGCUCAUUGCCAGACUUCUCAGUGUCUGAGGGUCAGGUAAGGAGAGGACCUCGCCAGAGUGCUGCAGACUCCUCGAUAGAGACACAUCGAGUUAAGAUGGUGAGAAGGUGAGACACACUAGAGUUACUCGGCUGUGUGGUAAGUGGCACAGAGCAAGCCCCACAGUAGUCAGGUGUGCCCUGUAUCCCAGCACUCGGAAGCCUCCUGAGGCAGGGCAGUAAAGAGGCUAAAGCUGAAUCAGGUGAACUGAAAACAUGAGGCCAGCUCUGUAUCAACAAACAAACAAACAAACACAAAACAAACAAACCACCCAA
rnacentral:lncRNA from 1 species